rnacentral:rRNA from 1 species
GACGGAAGGUGCAAGCGUUGCUCGGAAUCACUGGGCGUAAAGGGUGCGUAGGCGGCGCCGUAAGUCGGGUGUGAAAUUUCGGAGCUUAACUCCGAAACUGCAUUCGAUACUGCGGUGCUUGAGGACUGGAGAGGAGACUGGAAUUCAUGGUGUAGCAGUGAAAUUCGUAGAUAUUCGGAAGAACACCAGUGGCGAAGGCGGCUCACUGGACCGGUAUUGGACGCUGAGGUGCGAAAGCGUGGGGAGCAAACAGG